rnacentral:rRNA from 1 species
UAAUAAUGGCUAAGUGUUUAGAGGGUUUCCGCCCUUUAGUGCUGCAGCUAACGCAUUAAGCACUCCGCCUGGGGAGUACGGUCGCAAGACUGAAACUCAAAGGAAUUGACGGGGGCCCGCACAAGCGGUGGAGCAUGUGGUUUAAUUCGAAGCAACGCGAAGAACCUUACCAGGUCUUGACAUCCUCUGACAACUCUAGAGAUAGAGCGUUCCCCUUCGGGGGACAGAGUGACAGGUGGUGCAUGGUUGUCGUCAGCUCGUGUCGUGAGAUGUUGGGUUAAGUCCCGCAACGAGCGCAACCCUUGAUCUUAGUUGCCAGCAUUUAGUUGGGCACUCUAAAGUGACUGGCGGUGACAAACCGGAGGAAGGGGGGGAUGACGUCAAAUCAUCAUGCCCCUUAUGACCUGGGCUACACACCUGCUACAAUGGAUGGGACAAAGGGCUGCAAGACCGCGAGGUCAAACCAAUCCCAUAAAACCAUUUCUCAGUUCCGGAUUGUAGGCUGCCACUCUGCCUACAUGAAGCUGGAAAUCGCUAGUAAUCGCGGAUCAGCAUGGCGCGGUGAAUACGUUCCCCGGGGCUUGUACACACCGCCCGUCACACCACGAGAGUUUGUAACACCCGAAGUCGGUGGAGUAACCGUAAGGGAGCUAGCCGCCUAAGGUGGGACAAAAGAUUGGGGUGAAAAUCCUAACAAAAGUAAACCAAACCGCAUGAGCAAACAACCUU